UUUCCGUAGGUGAACCUGCGGAAGGAUCAUUAAUAGUGUGCCCUGGUUUUUACUGGGGACUACACCUCUUAUACACCAUAGACCCGCAAGGGCUGUGGGAGUAUAAUGCGUCCACCCUUUGUGAAACUUAACCUAUGCUUCGGCAGCACUCUUAGUGGGCAACUGCUAGAGGGGUAAGGCUGUCAGAAGCCCACUAUCAAACUAGUUGAUGAAAUGUCAUGCGGUCUGAUAAAAACUAUUUGAGAAAUCAAAUUACGUUAAAACUUUCAGCAACGGAUCUCUUGGUUCUC
rnacentral:misc_RNA from 1 species